GUAAAGAUUUGUGCUUUACUUGUCAAUUUGCUUACCAUAAUUGCAACACUCAAUAGUUACCUGGUGACUUGUGUCCUCGGACCUCGCCUGACGCCUGAGUGAGAGACUGAGAGAAUAGAGUGACUGCCUUACGAGUACGCCUGAGUCUGAGUGACUGACUGACUGGAGUAGCCGAGUAGUGGAGGAUGAAGGUGGUCCAGGUGGAGGCAUGGAGCAGUCGUCGCCGCCUCGCCGGAGGUGAUUCUAAAUUCUUCGCCGCGGAAAUCGGAACCCUAGUGGAGGACAAAGGUGGUCCAGGUGGAGGCAUGGAGCAGUCGUCGCCGCCUCGCCGGAGGUGAUUCUAAAUUCUUCGCCGCGGAAAUCGGAACCCUAGUGGAGGACA
rnacentral:misc_RNA from 1 species